ensembl:Y_RNA Y_RNA Y RNA
GACUGUCCAAACGUAGUCAGUUAUCUCAAAUGAUUGCUCACGGUUACAGAUCGAACUCCUUGCUCUUCUCUUUUCCCCCAUCAUGACUGCACUUGACUAGUCUGAA